rnacentral:rRNA from 1 species
UACGGAGGGUGCAAGCGUUAUCCGGAAUUACUGGGUUUAAAGGGUGCGUAGGCGGUUAAUUAAGUCAGAGGUGAAAGGUAAUUGCUUAACGAUUAAAUUGCCUUUGAUACUGGUUAACUUGAAUGGAGAUGAGGUUGGCGGAAUGUGAUAUGUAGCGGUGAAAUGCGUAGAUAUAUCAUAGAACAUCGAUUGCGAAGGCAGCUGACUAAUCUUACUUUGACGCUGAGGCACGAAAGCGUGGGGAGCGAACAGG